rnacentral:rRNA from 1 species
GAUGAACGCUGGCGGCGUACCUAAUACAUGCAAGUCGAGCGAACAGACGAGGAGCUUGCUCCUCUGACGUUAGCGGCGGACGGGUGAGUAACACGUGGAUAACCUACCUAUAAGACUGGGAUAACUUCGGGAAACCGGAGCUAAUACCGGAUAAUAUAUUGAACCGCAUGGUUCAAUAGUGAAAGACGGUUUUGCUGUCACUUAUAGAUGGAUCCGCGCCGCAUUAGCUAGUUGGUAAGGUAACGGCUUACCAAGGCGACGAUGCGUAGCCGACCUGAGAGGGUGAUCGGCCACACUGGAACUGGGACACGGUCCAGACUCCUACGGGAGGCAGCAGUAGGGAAUCGUCCGCAAGGGGCGAAAGCCUGACGGAGCAACGCCGCGUGAGUGAUGAAGGUCUUCGGAUCGUAAAACUCUGUUAUUAGGGAAGAACAAAUGUGUAAGUAACUAUGCACGUCUUGACGGUACCUAAUCAGAAAGCCACGGCUAACUACG